UGGCUCUUUACUGUCAUUCCUCAACAGCAGCUCCACAAAGAACAUGCUAAACACACCAGAGAAAGCUCAGACCUGCAGUCUCAUCAGAGUGACAGGCCACAGACCAACAGAAAGCCCUCCUUGCUCCUGGAUACUCCACGUGUAACAGCCGAGCUGCUACAGAGGAAUGUGGGAUGCUCACUGAAGCCUCGUGCCUACUCCUUUCUCGAACAGAGAAGCGGGAAAGCACCUUUAAGAAAAAAACAGGUUAGAGAGCUGCCUCGUAUCCAUUCAAACCAGUUGUGGCCUGGAACUCACUAUGAAGCCCAGCUCUUCUGCAACUUGAGUCCAUCUGUCUGUCUCCACUGC
rnacentral:lncRNA from 1 species